CCUACGGGUGGCAGCAGUGAGGAAUAUUGGUCAAUGGACGCAAGUCUGAACCAGCCAAGUAGCGUGCAGGAUGACGGCCCUCCGGGUUGUAAACUGCUUUUAGUUGGGAAUAAAAGGGGGCUCGUGAGCCCCGUAUUGUAUGUACCAUCAGAAAAAGGACGGGCUAAUCCCGUGCCAGCAGCCGCGGUAAUACGGAAGGUCCGGGCGUUAUCCGGAUUUAUUGGGUUAAAAGGGAGCGUAGGCCGACUUUUAAGUCAGCUGUGAAAGUUCGGGGCUCAACCGUGGAAUUGCAGUUGAAACUGGAGGCCUUGAGUGCACGCAGGGCAGGCGGAAUUCGUGGUGUAGCGGUGAAAUGCUUAGAUAUCAUGAAGAACUCCGAUCGCGAAGGCAGCUGGCUGCAGUGCAACUGACGCUGAGGCUCGAAAGUGCGGGUAUCAAACAGGAUUAGAUACCCUGGUAGUC
rnacentral:rRNA from 1 species